rnacentral:sRNA from 1 species
GCUUGUUGUUCGGCGGCGGCGGUCGCAGCUCGGGUUCCCCUCGGGCGCCCCCGCCGCCGUCCGCGCGCGGCCAUGGAGCUGGAGGUGCCGGACGAGGCGGAGAGCGCCGAGGCGGGGGCCGUGCCCUCGGAGGCGGCGUGGGCGGCAGAGAGCGGGGCGGCGGCAGUUCUGACCUGGCAGCAGAGCAAAGCUAUGGGCUGCUCCACCAAGCCGCAUUCAGUUGCCUUCAGUGCCCGCGGUGGACGUGUUUUCAGACGGCAGGGCAGUCACUGGGGCGCGGCCUCUAGAUGGGACACACGUGGGUCUCCCGUGCACCCACCGAGAGCAGCGCAGUGCCCGUGGGGGCCGAGGGGCGCUGGCAGGGCUGAUAGGGUGGGACAUCGCCGACCCGGGCCCAGCCACAGCGCAGCCUCUUCCAGUCCCUCUCUGACUCAC